rnacentral:rRNA from 1 species
AUUGAACGCUAGCGGCGUGCCUAAUACAUGCAAGUCGAACGCAGUGGGGACGGGUGAGUAACACGUGGGUAACCUCCCAUCAGAGGGGAUAAAACUUGGAAACAGGUGCUAAACCGAUACUGAGGGAGGGACCCGCGGUGCAUGAGCUAGUUGGUGAGGUAACGGCUCACCAAGGCCACGAGGCAUAGCCGACCUGAGAGGGUGAUCGGCCACACGUGGACUGAGACACGGCCCAGACUCCUACGGGAGGCAGCAGUAGGGAAUCUUCGGCAAUGGACGAAAGUCUGACCGAGCAACGCCGCGUGAGUGAAGAAGGUUUUCGGAUCGUAAAACUCUGUUUUUAGAGAAGCGGUAUCUAACCAGAAAGCCACGGCUAACUACGUGCCAGCAGCCGCGGUAAUAC